UGUGGUAGUAGUUAAGCAAUGGUGUGACACAGGAAGGCAGUCCAACCCGGGCGAUGGUUGUCCCGGGGUAAGGUGGUAGGGAGUGAUGUAGGUAAAUCCGCAUCACACAUAUCCUGAGAGCUGAUGCCGAGCCGUAAGGCGAAGUGGAUGAUCCUAUGCUGUCAAGAAAAGCAUCUAGCGAGAAUUAUUGCGGCCCGUACCCGAAACCGACACAGGUGGUCAGGUAGAGAAUACCAAGGCGAUCGAGAGAAUCAUGGAUAAGGAACUCGGCAAAAUGCCCCCGUAACUUCGGGAGAAGGGGGGCCCUUCGACGUGUAGGAAUUUACUUCCGAAGCGUUGGAAGGCCGCAGAGACCAGGCUCAAGCGACUGUUUACCAAAAACACAGGUCCGUGCGAAGUAGCAAUACGAUGUAUACGGACUGACGCCUGCCCGGUGCUGGAAGGUUAAGGGGACUGGUUAGCCGCAAGGCGAAGCUGAGAACUUAAGCCCCAGUAAACGGCGGUGGUAACUAUAACCAUCCUAAGGUAGCGAAAUUCCUUGUCGGGUAAGUUCCGACCUGCACGAAUGGCGUAACGACUUGAGCGCUGUCUCAUCCGUGAACUCGGCGAAAUUGCAUUACGAGUAAAGAUGCUCGUUACGCGCAGAAAGACGGAAAGACCCCGGGACCUUUACUAUAUCUUGAUAUUGGUGUUCGGAACGGUUUGUGUAGCAUAGGUGGGAGACUUUGAAGCGGGCACGCCAGUGUUUGUGGAGUCAUCGUUGAAAUACCACUCUGAUCGUUUUGAACUUCUAACCUCGGUCCGUAAUCCGGAUCAGGGACAGUGUCUGGUGGGUAGUUUGACUGGGGCGGUCGCCUCCUAAAAAGUAACGGAGGCGCUCAAAGGUUCCCUCAACCUGGUUGGUAAUCAGGUGUCGAGUGUAAGUGCACAAGGGAGCUUAACUGUGAGACAGACAUGUCGAGCAGGUGCGAAAGCAGGAACUAGUGAUCCGGCGGUGGCUUGUGGAAGCGCCGUCGCUCAACGGAUAAAAGGUACCCCGGGGAUAACAGGCUGAUCUUGCCCAAGAGUCCAUAUCGACGGCAAGGUUUGGCACCUCGAUGUCGGCUCGUCUCAUCCUGGGGCUGGAGUAGGUCCCAAGGGUUGGGCUGUUCGCCCAUUAAAGAGGCACGCGAGCUGGGUUCAGAACGUCGUGAGACAGUUCGGUCCCUAUCUUCUGUGCGCGCAGGAAACUUGAGAAGGCCUAACCCUAGUACGAGAGGACCGGGUUGGACGAACCUCUGGUGUGUCGGUUGUUCCGCCAGGAGCACCGCCGAUUUGCUACGUUCGGAAGGGAUAACCGCUGAAAGCAUCUAAGCGGGAAGCUCGCUUCGAGAUUAGGUUUCCCACUGGUUUACCGGGUAAGGCCCCCAGCUAGACGACUGGGUUGAUAGGCCGGAAGUGGAAGAACCGCAAGACUUGGAGCUGACCGGUACUAAUAGGCCGAGGAUUUAACUAC
rnacentral:rRNA from 1 species